UACAGAGGGGUGCGAGCGUUGUCCCGGAAUCACUGGGCGUAAAGGGGCGCGUAGGCGGUUGCCUAAGCGUGUGGUGAAAAGCCCCGGGGGCUCAACCCCCGGGGUCGGCCGUGCGGACUGGGGGAGCUCGAGUUCUGUAGAGGCGGGUGGAAUUCCGGGUGUAGCGGUGGAAUGCGUAGAGAUCCGGAAGAACACCGGUGGCGAAGGCGGCCCCGCUGGGCAGAGACUGACGCUGAGGCGCGACAGCGUGGGGGAGCAAACAGG
rnacentral:rRNA from 1 species